rnacentral:rRNA from 1 species
CCAGACUCCUACGGGAGGCAGCAGUGGGGAAUAUUGCGCAAUGGGCGAAAGCCUGAUGCAGCGACGCCGCGUGGGCGAGGAAGUAUUUCGGUAUGUAAAGCCCUAUCGGCAGGGAAGAAGAAAUGACGGUACCUGAAUAAGAAGCACCGGCUAAAUACGUGCCAGCAGCCGCGGUAAUACGUAUGGUGCAAGCGUUAUCCGGAUUUACUGGGCGUAAAGGGAGCGCAGACGGCGAUGCAAGCCAGGAGUGAAAGCCCGGGGCCCAACCCCGGGACUGCUCUUGGAACUGCGCGGCUGGAGUGCAGGAGGGGCAGGCGGAAUUCCUGGUGUAGCGGUGAAAUGCGUAGAUAUCAGGAGGAACACCGGUGUCGAAGGCGGCCUGCUGGACUGCGACUGACGUUGAGGCCCGAAAGCGUGGGGAGCAAACAGGAUUAGAUACCCGAGUA